rnacentral:rRNA from 1 species
AUUGAACGCUGGCGGCAGGCCUAACACAUGCAAGUCGAACGAGUGGGGGACGGGGGAGGAAUGACUGGGAAACUGCCAGAUGGAGGGGGAUAACUACUGGAAACGGUAGCUAAUACCGCAUACCAUCGGAUGUGCCCAGAUGGGAUGAGCUAGUAGGUGGGGGAAAGGCUCACCGAGGCGCCUAUCCCUAGCUGGUCUGAAAGGAUGACCAGCCACCCUGGAGGUGGGACCCGGUCCAGCCUCCUACGGUAGGCAGCACUGGCUAAUAUUGCACAAUGGGCGCAAGCCUGAUGCAGCUAUGCAGCGCGUAAGGAGGAGGCCUUCCGGUUGUGAAGUCCUUUCCGCGGGUAAGCGUUACCCGCAGCAGACGCACCGGCUAACUCCGUGCCAGCAGCCGCGGUAAUUC